CCUACGGGAGGCAGCAGUGAGGAAUAUUGGUCAAUGGGCGAGAGCCUGAACCAGCCAAGUCGCGUGAGGGAGUACUGCCCUAUGGGUUGUAAACCUCUUUUGUCGGGGAGCAAAAGCCGGACGUGUCCGGCUGUGAGAGUACCCGAAGAAAAAGCAUCGGCUAACUCCGUGCCAGCAGCCGCGGUAAUACGGAGGAUGCGAGCGUUAUCCGGAUUUAUUGGGUUUAAAGGGUGCGCAGGCGGAUUUUUAAGUCAGCGGUAAAAUCGUGGGGCUCAACCCCAUCCAGCCGGUGAAACUGGGGAUCUAGAGUGUGCGAGAGGUAUGCGGAAUGCGUGGUGUAGCGGUGAAAUGCAUAGAUAUCACGCAGAACCCCGAUUGCGAAGGCAGCAUACCGGUGCACAACUGACGCUCAGGCACGAAAGCGUGGGUAUCGAACAGGAUUAGAUACCCCUGUAGUC
rnacentral:rRNA from 1 species